rnacentral:tRNA from 1 species
GGUGAGGUGCCAGAGCGGUCGAAUGGGGCUCCCUGCUAAGGAGUUGUUCGGGAAACUGAACCGAGGGUUCGAAUCCCUCCCUCACCG